ACUUAAAUAGCUUAUAUUAAUAAAGAGCAUAAUAUUGAAGAUAUUAAGGAAAUAAUUUUAUUUUUAAGUA
rnacentral:tRNA from 1 species